GUCUUUGUAGCUUAAUGACAAAGCAUGGCACUGAAGAUGCCAAGAUGCUGCCACACGCACCCAAAGACA
rnacentral:tRNA from 1 species